GUACUAGAGUAGCACUCGCAUAUCAAUAAGCGGAGGAAAAAGAAAACUAACAAGGAUUCCCCUAGUAACGGCGAGUGAAGCGGGAAGAGCUCAAAUUUGAAAUCUUAAAGGGUUUCCCUUUACGAAUUGUAGUUUUAAAGAAGUGUUUUCUGUUGAGGGUUUUGGUAAAAGUUCUUUGGAAUAGGACAUCAUAGAGGGUGAGAAUCCCGUAUUUGACCUUUACUUUCAACUUUGUGAUACACUUUCAAAGAGUCGGAUUGUUUGGGAAUGCAGUCCAAAAUGGGUGGUAAAUUUCAUCUAAAGCUAAAUAUUGGCGAGAGACCGAUAGCGAACAAGUACCGUGAGGGAAAGAUGAAAAGAACUUUGAAAAGAGAGUUAAACAGUACGUGAAAUUGUCAAAAGGGAAGCGUUUGACACCAGUGUUGUUUUUCUGAAAAUCAAUUAAAGAACUGUUUAUGCUAAGUUGUUUUAGACUUUAUCAGCUAUCUGCUUAGUUUUGAGCUUUUCUUUAAUGCACUUUUCAGUUAACAAGUCAACAUCAAUUUCUUUUGCUGUAAAAAAGCUUGAGGAAGGUGGCUUGAGAUUCGUCUUAAGUGUUUAUAGCCUCUUGCCUAUGCAGUCGGAGAGAUUGAGGUCUGCAGCGUAGAUCCUUCGGGGCUAAAUGCAUUUGUGCUAAGUUAUAGCAUUUUAUAGACAACUUGUUGACUAUGAUUUGUCUUGUAGCUUACUCGCUUAUGUUAUUUUACCUACGCUUAGGAUGUUGAACUACUGAGACAUAGA
rnacentral:rRNA from 1 species